rnacentral:rRNA from 1 species
UACGUAGGGUGCAAGCGUUAAUCGGAAUUACUGGGUUUAAAGGGUGCGUAGGCGGCUGAUUAAGUCAGUGGUGAAAGUUUUGGGCUUAACCCAGAAAUUGCCAUUGAUACUGGUCGGCUUGAGUAUUGGAGGGGUACAUGGAAUUGAUGGUGUAGCGGUGAAAUGCAUAGAUACCAGCAGGAACACCGAUAGCGAAGGCAUUGUACUGGCCAAUAACUGACGCUGAUGCGCGAAAGCAUGGGUAGCGAACAGG